rnacentral:rRNA from 1 species
GAUCCUGGCUCAGGAUGAACGCUGGCGGCGUGCCUAACACAUGCAAGUCGAACGAAGCUUGACGGAUGAUUUCUUCGGAAUGAAACCAGAUAUGACUUAGUGGCGGACGGGUGAGUAACACGUGAGCAACCUGCCUUUCAGAGGGGGAUAACGGCUGGAAACGGUCGCUAAUACCGCAUGAAGUGUUCGGAUGGCAUCAUCUGAACAUCAAAGAUUUAUCGCUGAAAGAUGGG